rnacentral:rRNA from 1 species
GUGGGGAAUCUUGCGCAAUGGGCGAAAGCCUGACGCAGCAACGCCGCGUGGAGGAUGAAGGCCCUUGGGUUGUAAACUCCUGUCGGCUGGGAAGAAAUCGUUCGUGGCUCAUACCCACGGACGUUGACUGUACCAGCAAAGGAAGCCCCGGCUAACUCUGUGCCAGCAGCCGCGGUAAUACAGAGGGGGCUAGCGUUAUUCGGAAUUAUUGGGCGUAAAGGGCGCGUAGGCGGCCAUGCGUGUCUUCCGUGAAAUCCCUCGGCUUAACUGAGGACGUGCGGAAGAAACUGCAAGGCUCGAGUCCGGGAGAGGGGGGUGGAAUUCCCAGUGUAGCGGUGAAAUGCGUAGAUAUUGGGAGGAACACCGGUGGCGAAGGCGGCCCCCUGGACCGGUACUGACGCUGAGGCGCGAAAGCGUGGGUAGCAAACGGGAUUAGAUACCCGAGUAGUCC